UACGUAGGGUGCGAGCGUUUUAAUCGGAAUUACUUGGGCGUAAAGCGUGCGCAGGCGGUUUUUUGUAAGCCAGAUGUGAAAUCCCCGGGCUUUUUAACCUGGGAAUGGCAUUUUGGGACUGCAAGGCUCGAGUGCGGCAGAGGAGACUGGAAUUUCCUGGUGAGCAGUGAAAUGCGUAGAGAUCGGGAGGAACAUCUGGU
rnacentral:rRNA from 1 species